GUGACGAUCUCUUGGGCGGAACCAAAAGUCGGGAAACUUUGGUUCCGCCCGGAUGUUUCCGCCCAGACCGAAGAACGGAAACACCGGACAUCCGGCAGAUUCGCGGAGGCUGUAAUCAGCCGAUUGGGCACAGCUGUGCCUAGUUGAAGAGAUCGCUGGGCAAUUGGAUGACUGAAGUACAGAGAGGAGUAUAUAAAGCACAGUUAGAUCACAGUUCGGGAGUUCGGGCACGAGAGGGGGAUUGACACGGGGAGAGCUCCUCUGCUUAGGGCAGGAGAGGUAACUACGUACCUUUUGAAGAGCCCGCAGGCUCUGUUGAUCCGGGCUGCGCUUGAAGCGCGCGGAAAGAAGACAGGAGCUGCCUGGGGUGAAAGAAAGGCGAUACGUGAGUGGAGAAAAGGAGCACCCCGAAGAGAGCAUUGUGCUGUCAAGCCUGUGCUUAGUGUGUGCUGGGAAACGGAGCUGUGCUCAUUUUUGGACGUGGUGGCUGUCUGUGUUUCUCUCUCUCUCUCUCGUUGCAGUCUUUAUUGUGGACCUGCUGGAGUAGACAGGAAAGUCCUAUGGGUAAGAAGGAACUUUGUUCUAACCAAUACUGAAGGAGUAAAGCAGGAAGAAAAUUGACCGUCUGGUACAACGUAAAUAAAGGCUAUCCGCCGUGAGUAUACCCUUUUUGUGUGGAGUAACUGGCAAAAAUUAACUUGUGUAACCAUUGGAAACCUCCAGGAGAAGGAGGGCGGCCCUACCCCUACAAGAGUGUGGUGGGCGAGCCGUUAGAAGUACAAAUUCAAGCAGCCACCGCAACGAGACUUAUUGUGGUCGUAUUUCCCAUCGCCUUACCGUAGCCCAAGCGCAGUGGAGGACACCGGGCGCUUCCCUUGUUGUGGUGCACUUAUAGUGUGGUGAGUGAGACUGUGUAAUAAAUCUUUUCACGUUGGAGUGGUACUGUGUAUUUGCUGCGGGUUGCUGUGUGUCUUGUAGACGAAGCCCCGCAUCAUCCAUUUUCUUCCACUGGGCAGAGGACGGAGAGGCUAACGACCUCAGAAACUACUGUUACCAUAUGCAGUGUGCUGUUUGGAGUACGAAGGGACGCAGACUAAGAGCUGCCCGUGACCGUGAGUAAAUAUUGGAAAUAUUCGUGGUGUAAAUUUACCUGUGUCUGUUUUGUCGCAGAGUCAGAGGCGAAAGGGUCCGCCGCCCCCGCGGUCUCUACAAAGGGGCGCCCCUGUCCAGGAUUCGAUCGGCCCACGGGCAUUGGAGAUAGGGCAGCGCUCGACCCGGUGAGGUGGUGUGUGACCUUCGCCCCUCUGCUGACUUACAGAGAAGAACCAUACUUACCCAGAAAGCUGUAAACAGCAGAGCCGCGGCCACCGGUGGAGAGAGAGCAGAACGAGAGUGAAUAAUAGAAGAACAAACUGUGAACGUGAUACCUACCCAGAAAGCUGUAAACAGCAGAGCCGUGGCCUCCUGUGGAGAGAACGGAAAACGAGAAGGAACAUGAGGAGAAUGGACUGUGUGAAGAUAUAGUGGUGGUGGAGGAGAGCCUAGAGUGGCCAUUGUUUUAAGUCCCCCGUUUUCCCCUUCCCUAUUUAAUAUUUUUAAGUAAUUUAAUAAAGGAUAUUUUAAUCUUAUGCUUACCUUGUGUGUCUGGUCAUUGGGGUGGCUUUGGGAAUCUCCUCGAGGUGGAGAAAGGGGCGUGACCUUAUUUACAUCUGGGUCCACCCCUACCUGUGACAGAUUUGGCGUAGUCGGCAGGGCACCUCGGGUUGAGACCAAGGUCCCCCAAUGGCCUACCACGUUUUUUUUAAAAAGAAAAACUCCCAUCAACACCCUAUCAGUCCCUAAACAACGCGUUCUCGGGACGAGAACGGAUUGGCGGGGGAGGAUGUCACAAGGUGACGAUCUCUUGGGCGGAACCAAAAGUCGGGAAACUUUGGUUCCGCCCGGAUGUUUCCGCCCAGACCGAAGAACGGAAACACCGGACAUCCGGCAGAUUCGCGGAGGCUGUAAUCAGCCGAUUGGGCACAGCUGUGCCUAGUUGAAGAGAUCGCUGGGCAAUUGGAUGACUGAAGUACAGAGAGGAGUAUAUAAAGCACAGUUAGAUCACAGUUCGGGAGUUCGGGCACGAGAGGGGGAUUGACACGGGGAGAGCUCCUCUGCUUAGGGCAGGAGAGGUAACUACGUACCUUUUGAAGAGCCCGCAGGCUCUGUUGAUCCGGGCUGCGCUUGAAGCGCGCGGAAAGAAGACAGGAGCUGCCUGGGGUGAAAGAAAGGCGAUACGUGAGUGGAGAAAAGGAGCACCCCGAAGAGAGCAUUGUGCUGUCAAGCCUGUGCUUAGUGUGUGCUGGGAAACGGAGCUGUGCUCAUUUUUGGACGUGGUGGCUGUCUGUGUUUCUCUCUCUCUCUCUCGUUGCAGUCUUUAUUGUGGACCUGCUGGAGUAGACAGGAAAGUCCUAUGGGUAAGAAGGAACUUUGUUCUAACCAAUACUGAAGGAGUAAAGCAGGAAGAAAAUUGACCGUCUGGUACAACGUAAAUAAAGGCUAUCCGCCGUGAGUAUACCCUUUUUGUGUGGAGUAACUGGCAAAAAUUAACUUGUGUAACCAUUGGAAACCUCCAGGAGAAGGAGGGCGGCCCUACCCCUACAAGAGUGUGGUGGGCGAGCCGUUAGAAGUACAAAUUCAAGCAGCCACCGCAACGAGACUUAUUGUGGUCGUAUUUCCCAUCGCCUUACCGUAGCCCAAGCGCAGUGGAGGACACCGGGCGCUUCCCUUGUUGUGGUGCACUUAUAGUGUGGUGAGUGAGACUGUGUAAUAAAUCUUUUCACGUUGGAGUGGUACUGUGUAUUUGCUGCGGGUUGCUGUGUGUCUUGUAGACGAAGCCCCGCAUCAUCCAUUUUCUUCCACUGGGCAGAGGACGGAGAGGCUAACGACCUCAGAAACUACUGUUACCAUAUGCAGUGUGCUGUUUGGAGUACGAAGGGACGCAGACUAAGAGCUGCCCGUGACCGUGAGUAAAUAUUGGAAAUAUUCGUGGUGUAAAUUUACCUGUGUCUGUUUUGUCGCAGAGUCAGAGGCGAAAGGGUCCGCCGCCCCCGCGGUCUCUACAAAGGGGCGCCCCUGUCCAGGAUUCGAUCGGCCCACGGGCAUUGGAGAUAGGGCAGCGCUCGACCCGGUGAGGUGGUGUGUGACCUUCGCCCCUCUGCUGACUUACAGAGAAGAACCAUACUUACCCAGAAAGCUGUAAACAGCAGAGCCGCGGCCACCGGUGGAGAGAGAGCAGAACGAGAGUGAAUAAUAGAAGAACAAACUGUGAACGUGAUACCUACCCAGAAAGCUGUAAACAGCAGAGCCGGUGAGAAAUACUCGAAGUCUCAGUAACAGUGUCUUUGUGUCCUAGCGGCCACCUGUGGAGAGAGAGCAGAACGAGAGUGAAUAAUCGAAGAACAAACUGUGAACGUGAUACCUACCCAGAAAGCUGUAAACAGCAGAGGAGGCGAGAAAUACUCGGAGUCUCAGUAACAGUGUCUUUGUGUCCUAGUGGCCUCCUGUGGAGAGAACGGAAAACGAGAAGGAACAUGAGGAGAAUGGACUGUGUGAAGAUAUAGUGGUGGUGGAGGAGAGCCUAGAGUGGCCAUUGUUUUAAGUCCCCCGUUUUCCCCUUCCCUAUUUAAUAUUUUUAAGUAAUUUAAUAAAGGAUAUUUUAAUCUUA